rnacentral:tRNA from 1 species
GCACUCGUGGUCUAAUGGCAUGACAGCGGCCUUCCAAGCCGUUUGCCCGGGUUCGAAUCCCGGCGAGUGCA